rnacentral:rRNA from 1 species
AUGAUGAUGCUCGUCAACUGCUCCGGCUGCCGCACGGCGCUGCAGCUGCCCCACGGCGCGCCCUGCAUCCGCUGCUCCAUCUGCGGCGCCGUCACCAACGUCGCCGCGCCACCCGCGCCUGGCCCCGUCGUGGACCCCGCCCGGGGCGCGCAGGCGCCGGCGCCGGCGUGGGGCCCGCCUCCCCCGGCCGCGCACGGCCGGAAGCGCGCCGUGAUCUGCGGGAUCUCGUACCGCUUCUCCCGGCACGAGCUCAAGGGCUGCAUCAACGACGCCAAGUGCAUGCGCCACCUCCUCACCACCCGCUUCAGGUUCCCCGACGACUCCAUCAUCAUGCUCACCGAAGAACAAACCGACCCUUACAAAAUCCCAACAAAGCAUAACAUAAGGAUGGCCAUGUAUUGGCUUUUACAAGGUUGUCAACCUGGAGACUCAUUGGUGUUUCAUUAUUCUGGCCAUGGGGCACAACAAAGAAGCUACAGUGGAGAUGAAGUUGAUGGGAUGGAUGAAACCCUCUGCCCAUUGGAUUUUGAGACACAGGGAAUGAUUGUGGAUGAUGAGAUAAAUGCUGCGCUUGUUAGACCACUUCCCCAUGGAGCUAAACUUCAUGCACUCAUAGAUGCUUGCCACAGUGGGACUGCACUUGAUUUGCCGUUUCUCUGUAGAAUGAGCAGGACUGGGCAAUACGUAUGGGAAGAUCACAGACCGCGAUCUGGUGUCUGGAAAGGAACUAGUGGCGGGGAAGCUAUUUCAUUUAGCGGCUGUGAUGAUAAUCAGACAUCAGCGGAUACUUCAGCCUUGUCAAAGAUCACUUCAACUGGUGCAAUGACAUUUUGCUUCAUCCAAGCUAUUGAACAAAGCCAGGCCACCACAUAUGGGAGUAUCCUGAAUUCCAUGCGUUCAACAAUACGGAAUACGGGAAGUGGUGCCUCAAUGGCUGGAGGUGGUGCGGUUACAUCACUCAUUUCAAUGCUUCUUACAGGGGGGAGUGCUAGUACUGGUGGAUUGAGACAGGAGCCACAGCUAACUGCGUGUAAUACAUUUGAUGUGUAUGCGAAACCAUUUUCGCUAUGA